GGUUUUGGAGGGGGAAUUCAAGCAUUGCAAUGAAGGACAGGUGAGGUGAAGCAGGCAUGUGGCGAGGCAGAGGUGACUGUGUCCUCGUCUUCAGUGAACCCAAGAUCAGACCCACACCAAGAACAGUUUGAAUCUCCUUCACUACCUUUCUGUGUCAGUGUCCCAUCUUCACUUUCUCCCCUCCCUCCUCAUCCUCACCGGCCAGAGUCGUCCUGUUACAGCUCUGCCUCAGACAUGUGUCGCACACAAUCUCAACUGCUUCUGGCUGCAGAGAGGCAGCAGUGAAACCAUUACAGCAGAGGUCAAGGUCAACCCCCCCUCUCUCAUGAACAUUAGGAAAAACCUCUGAAGUGGGUGUUGAGCUGCAAGGAGAGUUCUGACACACUCAUUCACAGUUCAUUUCAUCUCUCUUAUUUAUGCUAAUGUUUUUCAUUUGCUUGUUAAGUUGUUUUUCUUGGCAUUUUCAAGGCGCUGCAUUAUUGCACGGUUCGUUCCUCAUAAACAUUUUAUAGAUACAAUA